rnacentral:rRNA from 1 species
GACGAACGCUCUUUGGCGUGCUUAACACAUGCAAGUCGAACGGAAAGGCCCUUCGGGGUACUCGAGUGGCGAACGGGUGAGUAACACGUGGGUGAUCUGCCCUGCACUUUGGGAUAAGCCUGGGAAACUGGGUCUAAUACCGAAUAGGACCGCAUGCUUCAUGGUGUGUGGUGGAAAGCUUUUGCGGUGUGGGAUGGGCCCGCGGCCUAUCAGCUUGUUGGUGAGGUAAUGGCUUACCAAGGCGACGACGGGUAGCCGGCCUGAGAGGGUGACCGGCCACACUGGGACUGAGAUACGGCCCAGACUCCUACGGGAGGCAGCAGUGGGGAAUAUUGCACAAUGGGCGCAAGCCUGAUGCAGCGACGCCGCGUGAGGGAUGACGGCCUUCGGGUUGUAAACCUCUUUCGCCAGGGACGAAGCGCAAGUGACGGUACCUGGAGAAGAAGGACCGGCCAACUACGUGCCAGCAGCCGCGGUAAUACGUAGGGUCCGAGCGUUGUCCGGAAUUACUGGGCGUAAAGAGCUCGUAGGUGGUUUGUCGCGUUGUUCGUGAAAACUCACAGCUUAACUGUGGGCGUGCGGGCGAUACGGGCAGACUUGAGUACUGCAGGGGAGACUGGAAUUCCUGGUGUAGCGGUGGAAUGCGCAGAUAUCAGGAGGAACACCGGUGGCGAAGGCGGGUCUCUGGGCAGUAACUGACGCUGAGGAGCGAAAGCGUGGGGAGCGAACAGGAUUAGAUACCCUGGUAGUCCACGCCGUAAACGGUGGGUACUAGGUGUGGGUUUCCUUCCUUGGGAUCCGUGCCGUAGCUAACGCAUUAAGUACCCCGCCUGGGGAGUACGGCCGCAAGGCUAAAACUCAAAGAAAUUGACGGGGGCCCGCACAAGCGGCGGAGCAUGUGGAUUAAUUCGAUGCAACGCGAAGAACCUUACCUGGGUUUGACAUGCACAGGACGCCGGCAGAGAUGUCGGUUCCCUUGUGGCCUGUGUGCAGGUGGUGCAUGGCUGUCGUCAGCUCGUGUCGUGAGAUGUUGGGUUAAGUCCCGCAACGAGCGCAACCCUUGUCUCAUGUUGCCAGCACGUUAUGGUGGGGACUCGUGAGAGACUGCCGGGGUCAACUCGGAGGAAGGUGGGGAUGACGUCAAGUCAUCAUGCCCCUUAUGUCCAGGGCUUCACACAUGCUACAAUGGCCGGUACAAAGGGCUGCGAUGCCGUGAGGUGGAGCGAAUCCUUUCAAAGCCGGUCUCAGUUCGGAUCGGGGUCUGCAACUCGACCCCGUGAAGUCGGAGUCGCUAGUAAUCGCAGAUCAGCAACGCUGCGGUGAAUACGUUCCCGGGCCU